rnacentral:rRNA from 1 species
UUCCCCUAGUAACGGCGAGUGAACCGGGAUCAGCUCAAAUUUAAAAUCUACCUUGGUUACCUUGGUCGAGUUGUAAUUUGUAGAAGUGUUUUCUGCACUAGGUUGGGUUAAAGUUUGUUGGAAAACAACGCCAAAGACAGUGAUAGCCUGGUUGUUAGCCUGUACCUUCCUGUGCUCUAUGAUACACUUUCUAAGAGUCGAGUUGUUUGGGAUUGCAGCUCUAAUUGGGUGGUAAACUCCAUCUAAAGCUAAAUAUUGGGGAGAGACCGAUAGCAAACAAGUACCGUGAGGGAAAGAUGAAAAGAACUUUGGAAAGAGAGUUAAAAGUAUGUGAAAUUGUUGCAAGGGAAACGAUUGUUGUCACGGACUGGGUGUAAAAACCUAGAACCAGCAUCAGUUUAUUGGGAGUGUUACUAUGUUUUGAAAAGUGGCAGCUUCUUUCGGGAAGUUGUGUUAUAGUCUUAGCAGAACACCUUCUAGCAGACUGAGGUCCAUCCAUCAGCUUUCCUCCAUCUGGGGGUACUGUUUUCGAACAGUUCAGGCUAAGGAUGCAGGUCAGUGUAAGCAACCGACCCGUCUUGAAACAC